rnacentral:rRNA from 1 species
UACGUAGGGUGCGAGCGUUGUCCGGAAUUAUUGGGCGUAAAGAGCUCGUAGGCGGUCUGUCGCGUCGGUCGUGAAAACUUGGGGCUUAACCCUGAGCUUGCGGUCGAUACGGGCAUGACUGGAGUUCGGCAGGGGAGACUGGAAUUCCUGGUGUAGCGGUGAAAUGCGCAGAUAUCAGGAGGAACACCGGUGGCGAAGGCGGUCGAUCUG